GAGAAAACCUGCACAUUUGCAAGUGACAAGCUUAACACAUAUGAGUAACUAUGUUGUGGAAUUACUCGCUGAGAUAUGAAUAACGGCCUCCUAUUCCUGAUAUCCAUCUGUCUGACGGUGCUCCUCUUUCAGCCAUGUUCUACAGCCUCCUGGAAGAUACGCCACUGGAAGGGACUACUCCUGCUCUCGAAGGACAAAUGCGCCAACAGAUGCAAAUUUAAACACGGGUACUUCACGGACGCUGCCGGUCAGUACCAGCUUGCUGCCAAGGCCAAGCGAGGGAUUAUCCCCGGAAAAUGUCAGUGCAUGGUAUCACCGGCGCUUAGGAAGUAUAUCACCCAAAAACACAGCCUUAAGGAGGCCAACUACUACGGACGCCUGAAUUUCUUCGGGAUGACGAAGAGGGCGCGCAAUCGACUGGUCACCUUGGGCGGGAAGGUAGAGUUCAUCACGUACGAAGAACUGCAGCAGCGGCUCGCAGCGGCCAAGGAGAAGACGGCCGAGUAUGAGAGGGUCAUCGCGCUUGACCGGGCUGCAGCUGCAGCGCGAGCUGCAUCAAAUUCAAAUCCCGGCGGCGGAUCUACCACCCCUGGACUGAGCGGUGCUUCCACCCCUGGGUCCCUGGGAUCGAGCGGGAUUUCCACCCCUGCGUUAGGAACGGGCGGAUCUUCCACACCCAAGGUGGGACAGACCGGAUCUUCCACACCCAAGGCGGGACAGAGUGGGACUUCUUCCCCCAAGAAGAAGGACGGUGGGGGCUCUGCUCAGCAAGCGGUUUCGUCGGCGGAUCUCGCGGCAGGGGCCUUAAGGGGCCCGCAAGCUGCGGAGAUGUGGGCUUCAGUGGAGAAGUCGAAGAACCCAUAACUGGCCACCGCGAAAGAUUGAAAACAGUUCAGACUUCUAGAAACGAAAUCAGUGAAUGGUUGGGACGUGAAUUGUUGGUUUAGUGGUAGAAAUGAACUAUUUAAAAAAAAAAAAAAAAAAAAAAAAAAAAAAAAAAAAAAAAAAAAAAAGUGAAGUACCUAUUACCGUCUCUAUUUGCCUUCGGACAAUGGAGAAUUUGCAUGCAAAUCUUUAAUUGCUCAAAGAGCUGACUUCACAGUAUUUUUUAUAAUUUUUUCUGAUAUGGAAAAUAAUAUGAAAAUAGAUUUAAAAGUGAGAAAAUGCAUCGCCUAGUGACGUCAUCUGGCGGCAUUCCCAUUUAAACACAUGCAUUGUAGCAGAUUAGAUCAUUUUGUCACAUCUUCUCCAAUAGAAUUGUUCAAUUCAUGAACCAAGGGUAUCCUCGUGCUCAGUUCACUCAGUAGUUUCCACUUGAACACGAGAUUCAUCAAAUUUCAGACACUUGCAAAUUCUCUAUUAUUGGGUAGUUACAUGUAUUUUGCAUCAAAGGAACUAUUAUUUCUGGCUCAUUUUGGAAUCAGGUUCCACGGAGAUAAAUUUCAACACGAUGGUUUGGUUUAUAAUACGGGGAAAACAAGGUGGUGAAAUGGUGCUGGGUCCACGCCAUUUCGCGGGGAAAACAAAGCUAAAAAGUUCUAAGCAUUUGCAAUUAGAGCCCAAAAAAAUGUUGAGCUCUAAUAAUUACCAGUACAGGACUGAGAUGGGAGAGUGUUCAGCUCUGGCAGCUUGCACUGGAAUAGUAAGCUGUCUCACGCCCAGAGAUCUAUAACAUUAUGGGUCUUCUUAGACCUCAUCAGCGGGCCGGUUACUGAAAUUGAUAGACAACGCUAUAGACAAAAGAGACAAAAGAGAUAUGGAGAGAUUCUAUUGGUGGAAGCGGGUGGUUGCAAUAGACAAAGGAGGUAGGUAAUAGACUAAGUAACGGUAACCCACGAGAGACCCGACAGUUAGUCUAUCAGUUUCUCCUUUUGUCUAUAGGAUCCAUCCAUUUCAACCAAUAGGAUCGCUCCAUACUCCCUAUGUCUUCUUUGUCUAUAGCUUUGUCCAUCAAUUUCAAUAAUCAGUCCGCAGGGAAGUAAAGCACAAAAUAACCCUAGCCUUGGUUGACAAUUUCAAGAGAAAAUGAAAACUAUUUAUUUUUUGAAGAAAUUUUAUAAAAAGCGAAGUUGAAUACCAACGUUACAAUCGGAGGAAUGCAAUUUCCUAUAGUCUGUCCGUUGUUUCCGCUGCGCUACAUUCACCGCAAACUGCGUACCAAAAUCAACCCCAACUUUGUGUUGGUUUGUGUUUCACUCCCUGCAUUAAACAAAAGUAAUACGAGACCCAGAUAUUUCUAUGUAUGUUUAAAUUUUACCCGAUGCGGAUAGGAGCUUUAAUGGAUGAGCCAGAAAUAUCGGUUCCUAAAUGGAGGUAUUUAUGCUAAAAGGAACUAUCUCUCACGCAAAUCAUGUGUACAUAGUUCCUUUUAGCAUAGAUACGUCCAAAUGCAAAAUUUAAUACAACUUUCCUACUCUCUCGUUAAAGUCUCCACCGUAAACCAAAGUUUCAGUUGCAUCUGGGCUAUAGUAUUUCAUCUUACCAUGCGUUAAUAAGCUUUGUAUAACUUAGAGCAGGAUGUUUCAAAAUUCUUUAAAAUAUAUUACUGAUGAACAAUUACAAUUAUCAGAACUUCAAGAAAAAAAAAGAAAAAAAGAAAAAAGAAGAAAAAAGAAGAAAAAAACACUUACAAUCCAGACGCUUUUACUUAAUUUUUCAAUUUCAAACAAAACCAGAUUACGUUAUAGAAAAGCUUUUUCUUCUUUUGUUUUUACUAUAAAACCUUUAAGGAUGAAUACAUAAAACUGUCUGAGCGUUUUUUUUUCUUUGCUGAGGAAAAAAGUUGGCUUU
rnacentral:lncRNA from 1 species